AGAGAUAUCAGAUGAGCUCUUUCUCCAUUGGUGUGGAGAAAAGCUUCCUGUGUCUCUGUAAAGAUCGGAAGAGCACACGUCUGAACUCCAGUCACAUCACGAUAUCGUAUGCCGUCUUCUGCUUGAAAAAAAAAAAACUCUUUCUUUCUAUGAGGGAUAGCCUUCGCUUAAAGUGCAGUUAAUUAUACUAAAGACCUAAACCUUCAAUGUCUAAAAGCCCAAGACACACUGGCACGAUUUUGGCUAUCCCAGACAAAAGAUUGGCAUCGUGAAACAAUCGUGGCGAUUUCUGUGAUCGUGGUCCUAUGUCGUACAGUGAGAGAAAUUCAAAGACAGCCAUUGUCACAGUCUUGUGACCAAAGAUAGCCUACAAUAAUUUUCUGGCAGUGUCAGAAAUUCAGCAUGUUCAUCGUACAGUGUAAUUUGCAGUUACGACCCAUGUUUACUGACCAACCAGUAAAAAUGCAACAUGAAAUCAACGCGACAAUGGCGCUAAAAUAUAUGUGUGCGCUAGGGCUCUAUUCGUCCGCUGUGUUUGAGAUUUCAGCUGUUUCAGAGGCUGAAAUCACACGGCGUCCCGUCGAUGACCUCGUCCUUCAGAUGAAAGAUCUCAACAUUGAAAAGGUUGUGAAUUUCCCGUUCCCCGACUCCUCCCUCAUCCGAGGCACUGAUCUCUGCCGAACAGCUCCUGAUCUCUCUGGGAGCGCUGGAGGAACCGCCUCGACACGGACGGUACGGACCUUUUCUCCUCUCUUUUUAUUCAUCUCUCAUCUAACUGAUCCAUUUUUAUGCGCUGAAAAGGAAAAUUUUCAACAUGCAAUUAGACUGACAUGUUUGCUUUUAUUAAAGAUGUACACUGGGUGUAUGAUAUUGUAAAUGAAAUGAUCACAGAUAAUAGUUUUGAUGUACAAACCCGAUUCCAAAAAAGCUGGGACACUGUACAAAUUGUAAAUAAAAACAGAAUGCAAUGAUGUGGAAGUUACAAAUUUCAAUAUUUUAUUCAGAAUACAACAUAGAUGACAUAUCAAAUGUUUAAACUGAGAAAAUGUAUAAUUUUAAGGGAAAAAUAAGUUGAUUUCAAAUGUCAUGGCAUCAACACAUCUAAAAAAAGUUGGGACAAGGCCAUGUUUACCACUGUGUGGCAUCCCCUUCUUUUUAUAACAGCCUGCAAACGUCUGGGGACUGAGGAGACAAGUUGCUCAAGUUUAGGAAUGGGAAUGUUGUCCCAUUCUUGUCUAAUACAGGUCUUCUAAAUGC
rnacentral:lncRNA from 1 species